UCGGUAGAGCAUCAGACUUUUAAUCUGAGGGUCCAGGGUUCAAGUCCCUGUUCGGGCGGUAGAAUUUUUAUCCAGGUACAAAUGUUCUACUACAUCAAAUAAUUUCCUUCUAUACCAAUUUAAUCGAUUUCCUGCUGCACCAGUUCGUACCAUACCGGUUUUAAUAAAUUACCUGCUGUGCCAGUUCAUACCAUACCUGACCUUACGUAUGUCCGAUAGAGAGUACUGCCAGAAGGAAAAUAAUACCAACAACAAUACACGUCCUGAAUCAUUCCAUGCUCAUGAACACUCAAACAUUAAUUUCACAGCGACUCACUGAACGGCGGACUGUUAUUACAGACAUUGAGGCAUCCCAUUAUCCGCCUGUUGCUGUUGUUGUUUGUGAAAGAACGUAACUAAUAAGGGGAUUAAGUUCCCCCCUUAAGCGAAUCAGAGAAACGCUGUCAUUUCACCAAGGUAAUCAUAGGUAUUUUCCCAAGCUGGAACGCUGCGCAACGCAUAUAAAGCUAAGCGCUGGAGGCAGGUAAUGGUAGCACUGUGCCCUCCUGACUCACAGCGAUGGCUCACAUUAUCAAGCUGUACGUGGUGCUUUCCCUGCUGCUGCCGGCGACACAAGCUCAGUAUUUCGUGUACAACCCAAAAUGGAGUCCGAGAGCCUUCACAGACGAGCGCAAAGCUGUCAUGCCAAGCGACCUGGCACCGAUGGACGAAAUCAUCAAAGCCAACGAAGUUCAAG